GGCCCCGUAGCUCAGCUGGAUAGAGCAUCAGACUUCGAAUCUGAGGGUCGGGAGUUCGAAUCUCUCCGGGGUCGCCA
rnacentral:tRNA from 1 species